CACCCUCCAGAUUGGCGUUGUGACUCCAACGACCAAUGUCCCGUCCGUGUGACCGUGUAAAAGCGGUCAGGCUGCCAGGGGGAGUUAGUACGACUAUGCGCGAUAAAGCACGACCUGGACGCGCUCCACUCCCUGA
rnacentral:sRNA from 20 species